AUCCCAUGAUGUGGACACUUCUGCAGCAUAUUCUUAAACCUAUUCUAGGCUUCAUCAAAAUUCUCUGAGUCGCCUUGACGGAAAAUAGAUAUGUCGUGCUUGAGCUU
rnacentral:snoRNA from 1 species